rnacentral:rRNA from 1 species
UAGCUAGUUGGUAGGGUAAAGGCCUACCAAGGCGACGAUCGGUAGCUGGUCUGAGAGGAUGACCAGCCACACUGGAACUGAGACACGGUCCAGACUCCUACGGGAGGCAGCAGUGGGGAAUAUUGGACAAUGGGGGGAACCCUGAUCCAGCAAUGCCGCGUGUGUGAAGAAGGCCUGAGGGUUGUAAAGCACUUUCAGUGGGGAGGAGGGUUGAUGGGUUAAGAGCUGAUUGACUGGACGUUACCCACAGAAGAAGCACCGGCUAACUCCGUGCCAGCAGCCGCGGUAAUACGGAGGGUGCGAGCGUUAAUCGGAAUUACUGGGCGUAAAGGGUGCGUAGGUGGUUAAUUAAGUUAUCUGUGAAUCCCUGGGCUUAACCUGGGCAGGUCAGAUAAAACUGAAUGACUCGAGUAUGGGAGAGGGUAGUGGAAUUUCCGGUGUAGCGGUGAAAUGCGUAGAGAUCGGAAGGAACACCAGUGGCGAAGGCGGCUACCUGGCCUAAUACUGACACUGAGGCACGAAAGCGUGGGGAGCAAACAGGAUUAGAUACCCUGGUAGUCCACGCUGUAAACGAUGUCAACUAGCUGUUGGUUAUAUGAAUAUAAUUAGUGGCGC